GGUUAAGCGACUAAGCGUACACGGUGGAUGCCCUGGCAGUCAGAGGCGAUGAAGGACGUGCUAAUCUGCGAAAAGCGUCGGUAAGGUGAUAUGAACCGUUAUAGCCGGCGAUGUCCGAAUGGGGAAACCCAGUGCAAUUCGUUGCACUAUCGUUAACUGAAUACAUAGGUUAACGAGGCGAACCGGGGGAACUGAAACAUCUAAGUACCCCGAGGAAAAGAAAUCAACCGAGAUUCCCCCAGUAGCGGCGAGCGAACGGGGAGCAGCCCAGAGUCUGAAUCAGCUUGUGUGUUAGUGGAACGGUCUGGAAAGUCCGACGGUACAGGGUGAUAGUCCCGUACACCAAAAUGCACAGGCUGUGAACUCGAAGAGUAGGGCGGGACACGUGGUAUCCUGUCUGAAUAUGGGGGGACCAUCCUCCAAGGCUAAAUACUCCUGACUGACCGAUAGUGAACCAGUACCGUGAGGGAAAGGCGAAAAGAACCCCGGCGAGGGGAGUGAAAAAGAACCUGAAACCGUGUACGUACAAGCAGUGGGAGCACCUUCGGGUGUGACUGCGUACCUUUUGUAUAAUGGGUCAGCGACUUAUAUUCUGUAGCAAGGUUAACCGUAUAGGGGAGCCGCAGGGAAACCGAGUCUUAACUGGGCGUUAAGUUGCAGGGUAUAGACCCGAAACCCGGUGAUCUAGCCAUGGGCAGGUUGAAGGUUGGGUAACACUAACUGGAGGACCGAACCGACUAAUGUUGAAAAAUUAGCGGAUGACUUGUGGCUGGGGGUGAAAGGCCAAUCAAACCGGGAGAUAGCUGGUUCUCCCCGAAAGCUAUUUAGGUAGCGCCUCGUGAAUUCAUCUUCGGGGGUAGAGCACUGUUUCGGCUAGGGGGUCAUCCCGACUUACCAACCCGAUGCAAACUACGAAUACCGAAGAAUGUUAUCACGGGAGACACACGGCGGGUGCUAACGUCCGUCGUGAAGAGGGAAACAACCCAGACCGCCAGCUAAGGUCCCAAAGUCAUGGUUAAGUGGGAAACGAUGUGGGAAGGCACAGACAGCCAGGAUGUUGGCUUAGAAGCAGCCAUCAUUUAAAGAAAGCGUAAUAGCUCACUGGUCGAGUCGGCCUGCGCGGAAGAUGUAACGGGGCUAAACCAUGCACCGAAGCUGCGGCAGCGACACUAUGUGUUGUUGGGUAGGGGAGCGUUCUGUAAGCCUGCGAAGGUGUGCUGUGAGGCAUGCUGGAGGUAUCAGAAGUGCGAAUGCUGACAUAAGUAACGAUAAAGCGGGUGAAAAGCCCGCUCGCCGGAAGACCAAGGGUUCCUGUCCAACGUUAAUCGGGGCAGGGUGAGUCGACCCCUAAGGCGAGGCCGAAAGGCGUAGUCGAUGGGAAACAGGUUAAUAUUCCUGUACUUGGUGUUACUGCGAAGGGGGGACGGAGAAGGCUAUGUUAGCCGGGCGACGGUUGUCCCGGUUUAAGCAUGUAGGCUGGUUAUCCAGGCAAAUCCGGAUAAUCAAGGCUGAGGUGUGAUGACGAGGCACUACGGUGCUGAAGUAACAAAUGCCCUGCUUCCAGGAAAAGCCUCUAAGCAUCAGGUAACAUCAAAUCGUACCCCAAACCGACACAGGUGGUCAGGUAGAGAAUACCAAGGCGCUUGAGAGAACUCGGGUGAAGGAACUAGGCAAAAUGGUGCCGUAACUUCGGGAGAAGGCACGCUGGUGUGUAGGUGAAGUCCCUGCGGAUGGAGCUGAGACCAGUCGAAGAUACCAGCUGGCUGCAACUGUUUAUUAAAAACACAGCACUGUGCAAACACGAAAGUGGACGUAUACGGUGUGACGCCUGCCCGGUGCCGGAAGGUUAAUUGAUGGGGUUAUCCGUAAGGAGAAGCUCUUGAUCGAAGCCCCGGUAAACGGCGGCCGUAACUAUAACGGUCCUAAGGUAGCGAAAUUCCUUGUCGGGUAAGUUCCGACCUGCACGAAUGGCGUAAUGAUGGCCAGGCUGUCUCCACCCGAGACUCAGUGAAAUUGAACUCGCUGUGAAGAUGCAGUGUACCCGCGGCAAGACGGAAAGACCCCGUGAACCUUUACUAUAGCUUGACACUGAACAUUGAGCCUUGAUGUGUAGGAUAGGUGGGAGGCUUUGAAGCGUGGACGCCAGUCUGCGUGGAGCCAACCUUGAAAUACCACCCUUUAAUGUUUGAUGUUCUAACGUUGGCCCCUUAUCGGGGUUGCGGACAGUGUCUGGUGGGUAGUUUGACUGGGGCGGUCUCCUCCCAAAGCGUAACGGAGGAGCACGAAGGUUAGCUAAUCCUGGUCGGACAUCAGGAGGUUAGUGCAAUGGCAUAAGCUAGCUUGACUGCGAGCGUGACGGCGCGAGCAGGUGCGAAAGCAGGUCAUAGUGAUCCGGUGGUUCUGAAUGGAAGGGCCAUCGCUCAACGGAUAAAAGGUACUCCGGGGAUAACAGGCUGAUACCGCCCAAGAGUUCAUAUCGACGGCGGUGUUUGGCACCUCGAUGUCGGCUCAUCACAUCCUGGGGCUGAAGUAGGUCCCAAGGGUAUGGCUGUUCGCCAUUUAAAGUGGUACGCGAGCUGGGUUUAGAACGUCGUGAGACAGUUCGGUCCCUAUCUGCCGUGGGCGCUGGAGAAUUGAGGGGGGCUGCUCCUAGUACGAGAGGACCGGAGUGGACGCAUCACUGGUGUUCGGGUUGUCAUGCCAAUGGCACUGCCCGGUAGCUAAAUGCGGAAGAGAUAAGUGCUGAAAGCAUCUAAGCACGAAACUUGCCCCGAGAUGAGUUCUCCCUGAGACUUUAAGUCUCCUGAAGGAACGUUAAAGACGAUGACGUUGAUAGGCCGGGUGUGUAAGCGCAGCGAUGCGUUGAGCUAACCGGUACUAAUGAACCGUGAGGCUUAACCUU
rnacentral:rRNA from 1 species